rnacentral:lncRNA from 12 species
AUGUGGCUUUUAUAUUUAAAACGUUUCAAUUAUUCUGGUAUAUGUGUUCUCUCCUACCAUGAAACAUCCCACCGAUUUCCCACAUAUGCCUCAAGCUAUAACAAAUCCUUCCUGAGCCACAGAGAUCUGAAGCACCACCUAUUGGGAACCAGGAAAAUGCCUGGCAGCAGUAUGAAAGAUGAAUCAGAAAGAGGAGAGAAUGAAGAUGUCACAUCCACCCGGGAAUAUAUCCUGAGAAAAAGCAAGGGAAAAAGAAUUGCUUCUAAAAGCUCUCUCAGAAGAUAAAAGAAGGGGCACCUGGGUGGCUCAGUGGUUGAGCAUCUGCCUUUGGCUCAGGUCAUGAUCCCGGGGUCUGGGGAUCGAGUCACGCAUCAGCCUCCUCGCAGGGAGCCUGUUUCUCUCUCUGCCUAUGUCUCUGCCUCUCUCCAUGUAUCUCAUGAAUAAAGAAAUAAAAUAUUUUUUAAAAAGAAAGAAA